CUACGGGUGGCAGCAGUAAGGAAUAUUGCACAAUGGGGGAAACCCUGAUGCAGCAACGCCGCGUGAACGAAGAAGGCCUUCGGGUUGUAAAGUUCUUUUCUGGGGGAAGAGGAAGGACGGUACCCCAGGAACAAGUCUCGGCUAACUACGUGCCAGCAGCCGCGGUAAGACGUAGGAGGCAAGCGUUAUCCGGAUUCAUUGGGCGUAAAGGGCAAGUAGGCGGUUGUCAAAGUCAGGUGUGACAUCUCCCGGCUCAACUGGGAGGGAGCGCUUGAUACUAAGCGACUAGAGGGCAGGAGAGGGAGGCGGAACUCCUAGUGUAGCGGUGGAAUGCUCAGAUACUAGGAAGAACACCAGUGGCGAAGGCGGCCUCCUGGACUGACCCUGACGCUGAGAGGCGAAAGCUAGGGUAGCGAACGGGAUUAGAUACCCCCGUAGUC
rnacentral:rRNA from 1 species